AUGAAGUUGGAAUCGCUAGUAAUCGCGGAUCAGCAUGCCGCGGUGAAUACGUUCCCGGGCCUUGUACACACCGCCCGUCCACACCAUGAGAGUCGAUAACACCCGAAGCCUGUGAGCUAACCUUUUAGGAGGCAGCAGUCGAAGGUGGGGUUGAUGAUUGGGGUGAAGUCGUAACAAGGUAGC
rnacentral:rRNA from 1 species